rnacentral:rRNA from 2 species
GUAACCUGCCUGUAAGACUGGGAUAACUCCGGGAAACCGGAGCUAAUACCGGAUAGUUCCUUGAACCGCAUGGUUCAAGGAUGAAAGACGGUUUCGGCUGUCACUUACAGAUGGACCCGCGGCGCAUUAGCUAGUUGGUGGGGUAAUGGCUCACCAAGGCGACGAUGCGUAGCCGACCUGAGAGGGUGAUCGGCCACACUGGGACUGAGACACGGCCCAGACUCCUACGGGAGGCAGCAGUAGGGAAUCUUCCGCAAUGGACGAAAGUCUGACGGAGCAACGCCGCGUGAGUGAUGAAGGUUUUCGGAUCGUAAAGCUCUGUUGUUAGGGAAGAACAAGUGCGAGAGUAACUGCUCGCACCUUGACGGUACCUAACCAGAAAGCCACGGCUAACUACGUGCCAGCAGCCGCGGUAAUACGUAGGUGGCAAGCGUUGUCCGGAAUUAUUGGGCGUAAAGGGCUCGCAGGCGGUUUCUUAAGUCUGAUGUGAAAGCCCCCGGCUCAACCGGGGAGGGUCAUUGGAAACUGGGAAACUUGAGUGCAGAAGAGGAGAGUGGAAUUCCACGUGUAGCGGUGAAAUGCGUAGAGAUGUGGAGGAACACCAGUGGCGAAGGCGACUCUCUGGUCUGUAACUGACGCUGAGGAGCGAAAGCGUGGGGAGCGAACAGGAUUAGAUACCCUGGUAGUCCACGCCGUAAACGAUGAGUGCUAAGUGUUAGGGGGUUUCCGCCCCUUAGUGCUGCAGCUAACGCAUUAAGCACUCCGCCUGGGGAGUACGGUCGCAAGACUGAAACUCAAAGGAAUUGACGGGGGCCCGCACAAGCGGUGGAGCAUGUGGUUUAAUUCGAAGCAACGCGAAGAACCUUACCAGGUCUUGACAUCCUCUGACAACCCUAGAGAUAGGGCUUUCCCUUCGGGGACAGAGUGACAGGUGGUGCAUGGUUGUCGUCAGCUCGUGUCGUGAGAUGUUGGGUUAAGUCCCGCAACGAGCGCAACCCUUGAUCUUAGUUGCCAGCAUUUAGUUGGGCACUCUAAGGUGACUGCCGGUGACAAACCGGAGGAAGGUGGGGAUGACGUCAAAUCAUCAUGCCCCUUAUGACCUGGGCUACACACGUGCUACAAUGGACAGAACAAAGGGCUGCGAGACCGCAAGGUUUAGCCAAUCCCAUAAAUCUGUUCUCAGUUCGGAUCGCAGUCUGCAACUCGACUGCGUGAAGCUGGAAUCGCUAGUAAUCGCGGAU